rnacentral:rRNA from 1 species
AGUGAACGCUGGCGGUAGGCCUAACACAUGCAAGUCGAACGGCAGCACAGUAAGAGCUUGCUCUUACGGGUGGCGAGUGGCGGACGGGUGAGGAAUACAUCGGAAUCUACUUUUUCGUGGGGGAUAACGUAGGGAAACUUACGCUAAUACCGCAUACGACCUACGGGUGAAAGCAGGGGAUCAUCGGACCUUGCGCGAUUGAAUGAGCCGAUGUCGGAUUAGCUAGUUGGCGGGGUAAAGGCCCACCAAGGCGACGAUCCGUAGCUGGUCUGAGAGGAUGAUCAGCCACACUGGAACUGAGACACGGUCCAGACUCCUACGGGAGGCAGCAGUGGGGAAUAUUGGACAAUGGGCGCAAGCCUGAUCCAGCCAUACCGCGUGGGUGAAGAAGGCCUUCGGGUUGUAAAGCCCUUUUGUUGGGAAAGAAAAGCAGCAGGUUAAUACCCCGCUGUUCCGACGGUACCCAAAGAAUAAGCACCGGCUAACUUCGUG